rnacentral:rRNA from 1 species
UACAGAGGGUGCGAGCGUUGUUCGGAUUUACUGGGCGUAAAGGGCGCGUAGGCGGCCUCUGCAAGUCGACUGUGAAAUCUCCGGGCUUAACCCGGAAAGGUCAGCCGAUACUGCAGGGCUAGAGUGCAGAAGGGGCAACUGGAAUUCUCGGUGUAGCGGUGAAAUGCGUAGAUAUCAAGAGGAACACCUGAGGUGAAGACGGGUUGCUGGGCUGACACUGACGCUGAGGCGCGAAAGCCAGGGGAGCGAACGGG